CACUAGAAGAGAAAGACUUUUAGCAAUACCUGCCCAGUGCGAAAUAUUACUGUAAACGGCCGCCCUAGCGUGAGGGUGCUAAGGUAGCGAAAUUCCUUGCCUUUUGAUUGUAGGCCUGCAUGAAUGGUUUAACGAGGGUUUAACUGUCUCUUGAUUUAAAAUUGAAAUUGUACUGAAGGUGAAGAUACCUUCAUUAAAAAGUCAGACAAAAAGACCCCGUGCAACUUUGAAAAUUAACUUUAUUCAGAAGUGAAAGAUUUUUAGGUGGGGCGCCUAGAAAGUAAAUCUAACCUUUCUGAACAUUUAAUUCUUUCCGGACUUGACCCGAUUAUAUUCGAUCAUAGGAGAAGUUACGCCGGGGAUAACAGGCUAAUCCUUUAGUAGAGCUCGUAUUGGCUAAAGGGAUUGGCACCUCGAUGUUGAAUCAGGGAUGAUAGCUUCAAGGCGUAGAGGCUUUGAGAGUAGGUCUGUUCGACCUUUAAUACCCU
rnacentral:rRNA from 1 species